ACCUUUUGUUUGGUAGUUCAUUCUCUAUGACAACCUUUUGUCUGGUUUUCAACCUUUUGUUUGGUAGUUCAUUCUCUAUGACAAGCCUUUUACUAAAACUUUCUUCUCUUUCAUCUUUGUAGCGGUUAUUGUGGCCUUCUGUGGCGUAUCCUACUUUGAAAUUGUUGGAUCUAGAUCCUAUCAGAUUCCAACAAAAGCCGAUUUCCUUGCUUCUUUGCUUCCAUUGAUAUGCGUUCCAGCAGUAUUGUCUCUCGGUGUUGGUUUGUUCAAGUGGAAAGACGACAAUUGGAAGCUCUCUCGAGGUGCUUAUAUGUUCAUAAUCAUUGGUCUUCUUCUUUUGCUUGGAGCCAUUUCAGCUAUUAUAGUUACAAUUAAACCUUGGGCGGUAAGUGAUCGUCCCAUGUGCUGUAGUUUUCAUGUUCAAAACAGUUAUUUGACAUUGUUUGUAUGUUUUUCUUUUCCCCUUUGUUGAAUAGGGGCUGCAUUUCUUCUGAUGCUUCUCCUUCUUGUUCUAGCUAUUGGUGUUAUUCACUAUUGGGCGUCAAAUAACUUUUAUUUGACAAGGAUACAAAUGUUACUCCUUUGUUUUCUUGCAUUCCUUUUAGCUCUUGCAGCAUUUCUUGUUGGAUGGUUUCAGGAUAAGGCUUUUGUUGGUGCCUCUGUUGGUUACUUCUCAUUUCUUUUUCUCGUAGCUGGAAGGGCAUUAACAGUAAGUUAUACUUAAUAAUGACAAAUAAAGUAUUGAAGUGUGUUGGAGAAAUUUUUGUUUUUAGUCCCUAAAAUAUUGGCAAAUUCUGAUUUUUGUCCUUGUAAUGGUUAAGCUCCUCAUUUAAGCUUCAUUAAUUAAAAUGUACACUUUUGAUCCUUAUGCUUGUGAGUCCACCAAUUUAACAAAUUAUUAAUUGUUAAACUAUUUGAGACUAAUUAAUUAAUCUAACUAUAAAAUGUUUUAAAUUUAGGGAACAAAGACACAUUUUUAUCAACUCAAGGUUAAAUAUGCUUAGUGAAAUAUCACAAGGACAAAUCAUAUUUAACUAAUGACCGAGGGAUCAAAAGUG